rnacentral:rRNA from 1 species
AUUUUGACCUCAAAUCAGGA